AACGCACCUUGCACCCUUUGGUAUUCCGAAGGGUAUGCCCGUUUGAGUGUCAUUGUAAUCUCACACCCAAUACUUUAUUGUAGAGGGCGGUGGACUUGGAGCUUGCUGGUUUCGCGACUGGCUGUUCUCAAAUGCAUUAGUAUGGCUUAAGUCUAGGCGCUUGAUGCCCGGUGUAAUAAGUGUUUCGCCGUGGUUAGUCUGACUUGGAGCUUCAUGCUUCUAACGGUCUCUUAGGGGGACUACUGCUUCGGCGGUAACUUGACAAUUUGACCUCAAAUCGGGUAGGACUACCCGCUGAACUUAA
rnacentral:rRNA from 1 species